GGCGCUGUCAAAUAAGUGGUCAGGAUGAAACUACUCGCAAGUUACUUCAUAGCUGCUGCAGCUCUGGUCUUCAUGUUGUCUACUACAGCGUUCGGUCAAGUUCCUUUCCCAGUGGACCAGCCUCGUACAUCGUGCAUCGACAGCGAAGACUGUGUCCCGCUGUGCCAACUAGCGUGUCCUACUGCCGACAAAGCUCUCUGCUACACACAUCGAUGCUUCUGCAAGGCAGUGUCCAACAAGCGCGGAUUGUCGCAUAGAGAAGUUCCAUACUAAUGUUCUGAGAAUAACUUCUUUGUAUUAAAAUUUUUGAAUUGGUCUCGAUGUCAUUGGCAAUGUAUUUAGCAGAUAAAUAAAAAAUAUUUCAGUUUAA